GAUUAAGUUAUUAAGGGCGCACGGUGGAUGCCUUGGCACUAGAAGCCGAUGAAGGACGUUACUAACGACGAUAUGCUUUGGGGAGCUGUAAGUAAGCUUUGAUCCAGAGAUUUCCGAAUGGGGAAACCCAGCAUGAGUUAUGUCAUGUUAUCGAUAUGUGAAUACAUAGCAUAUCAGAAGGCACACCCGGAGAACUGAAACAUCUUAGUACCCGGAGGAAGAGAAAGAAAAUUCGAUUCCCUUAGUAGCGGCGAGCGAAACGGGAAGAGCCCAAACCAACAAGCUUGCUUGUUGGGGUUGUAGGACACUCUAUACGGAGUUACAAAGGACGACAUUAGACGAAUCAUCUGGAAAGAUGAAUCAAAGAAGGUAAUAAUCCUGUAGUCGAAAAUGUUGUCUCUCUUGAGUGGAUCCUGAGUACGACGGAGCACGUGAAAUUCCGUCGGAAUCUGGGAGGACCAUCUCCUAAGGCUAAAUACUCUCUAGUGACCGAUAGUGAACCAGUACCGUGAGGGAAAGGUGAAAAGCACCCCGGAAGGGGAGUGAAAUAGAACCUGAAACCGUGUGCUUACAAGUAGUCAGAGCCCGUUAAUGGGUGAUGGCGUGCCUUUUGUAGAAUGAACCGGCGAGUUACGAUUUGAUGCAAGGUUAAGCAGUAAAUGUGGAGCCGUAGCGAAAGCGAGUCUGAAUAGGGCGUUUAGUAUUUGGUCGUAGACCCGAAACCAGGUGAUCUACCCUUGGUCAGGUUGAAGUUCAGGUAACACUGAAUGGAGGACCGAACCGACUUACGUUGAAAAGUGAGCGGAUGAACUGAGGGUAGCGGAGAAAUUCCAAUCGAACCUGGAGAUAGCUGGUUCUCUCCGAAAUAGCUUUAGGGCUAGCCUCAAGUGAUGAUUAUUGGAGGUAGAGCACUGUUUGGACGAGGGGCCCCUCUCGGGUUACCGAAUUCAGACAAACUCCGAAUGCCAAUUAAUUUAACUUGGGAGUCAGAACAUGGGUGAUAAGGUCCGUGUUCGAAAGGGAAACAGCCCAGACCACCAGCUAAGGUCCCAAAAUAUAUGUUAAGUGGAAAAGGAUGUGGCGUUGCCCAGACAACUAGGAUGUUGGCUUAGAAGCAGCCAUCAUUUAAAGAGUGCGUAAUAGCUCACUAGUCGAGUGACACUGCGCCGAAAAUGUACCGGGGCUAAACAUAUUACCGAAGCUGUGGAUUGUCCUUUGGACAAUGGUAGGAGAGCGUUCUAAGGGCGUUGAAGCAUGAUCGUAAGGACAUGUGGAGCGCUUAGAAGUGAGAAUGCCGGUGUGAGUAGCGAAAGACGGGUGAGAAUCCCGUCCACCGAUUGACUAAGGUUUCCAGAGGAAGGCUCGUCCGCUCUGGGUUAGUCGGGUCCUAAGCUGAGGCCGACAGGCGUAGGCGAUGGAUAACAGGUUGAUAUUCCUGUACCACCUAUAAUCGUUUUAAUCGAUGGGGGGACGCAGUAGGAUAGGCGAAGCGUGCGAUUGGAUUGCACGUCUAAGCAGUAAGGCUGAGUAUUAGGCAAAUCCGGUACUCGUUAAGGCUGAGCUGUGAUGGGGAGAAGA
rnacentral:rRNA from 1 species